UACGGGGGGGGCAAGCGUUGUUCGGAAUUACUGGGCGUAAAGGGCUCGUAGGCGGCCAACUAAGUCGGAUGUGAAAUCCCCAGGCUCAACUUGGGAACUGCAUCCGAUACUGGAUGGCUUGAGUUCGGGAGAGGGAUGCGGAAUUCCAGGUGUAGCGGUGAAAUGCGUAGAUAUCUGGAGGAACACCGGUGGCGAAGGCGGUUCUCUGGGCAUUACCUGACGCUGAGGAGCGAAAGUGUGGGGAGCGAACAGG
rnacentral:rRNA from 1 species